UACGUAGGGUGCAAGCGUUGUCCGGAAUUAUUGGGCGUAAAGAGCUCGUAGGCGGUUUGUCGCGUCUGCUGUGAAAACGCGAGGCUCAACCUCGCGCCUGCAGUGGGUACGGGCAAACUAGAGUGCGGUAGGGGAGAUUGGAAUUCCUGGUGUAGCGGUGGAAUGCGCAGAUAUCAGGAGGAACACCGAUGGCGAAGGCAGAUCUCUGGGCCGUAACUGACGCUGAGGAGCGAAAGCGUGGGAGCGAACAGG
rnacentral:rRNA from 1 species